CCGCGGGCUGGGCUGGGCCGUCAACGCCGUGCCGACCUUGAAGGGCGGUUCCGCGCUGGGCAUCGCGAGCCCGCCCGCGGU
rnacentral:tRNA from 1 species